UACAGGGGGGGCAAGCGUUGUUCGGAAUUACUGGGCGUAAAGGGCUCGUAGGUGGCCAACUAAGUCAGACGUGAAAUCCCUCAGCUUAACUGGGGAACUGCGUCUGAUACUGAAGAUCUUGAGUUCGGGAGAGGUGAGUGGAACUGCGAGUGUAGAGGUGAAAUUCGUAGAUAUUCGCAAGAACACCAGUGGCGAAGGCGGCUCACUGGCCCGAUACUGACGCUGAGGCACGAAAGCGUGGGGAGCAAACAGG
rnacentral:rRNA from 1 species